CAAGUAAGCCAGACAGCCGCGGGGGAGGGCCGAAAGGCUCCCUCUGAGGAAAGUCCGGGCUCCACAGGGCAAGGAUAACGGGUAACGCCCGCCGAAGGCGACUUCAGGACAAGUGCAACAGAGAUAUACCGCCUCAUCCGCUCAUACCGGCACCGGGACCUCGUGAAACGGGUCCCGCGCCGGGAGAGGGAGCGGCUCAGCAUUCGCGCCGCCGGCGUUCGCGCCGACGCGCGGAAUAUGUAGUCCGCGGCGACGAGGUAAGGGUGGAAAGGCGAGGUAAGAGCUCACCCGGGGAUAUGGCGACAUGUUCCCGCUGUAAACUCUAUUCGGAGCAACACCGUGAAGGGGGCAUACGGCCUGCCCGGCCGCUCCCGAGAGGUGGCGUGAGCCGUCCGGCGACGGACGGCCAAGAUAGAUGGCUGUCCACGACAGAAUCCGGCUUACCGGCUUACUUGCGCG
rnacentral:RNase_P_RNA from 1 species